AAUUAGGUCUCGUUGGUGACCAGCGGAGGGUCAUUACCGAGUUUACAACUCCCAAACCCCUGUGAACAUACCUUAUGUUGCCUCGGCGGAUCAGCCCGCGCCCCGUAAAAAGGGACGGCCCGCCGCAGGAACCCUAAACUCUGUUUUUAGUGGAACUUCUGAGUAUAAAAAACAAAUAAAUCAAAACUUUCAACAACGGAUCUCUUGGUUCUGGCAUCGAUGAAGAACGCAGCAAAAUGCGAUAAGUAAUGUGAAUUGCAGAAUUCAGUGAAUCAUCGAAUCUUUGAACGCACAUUGCGCCCGCCAGUAUUCUGGCGGGCAUGCCUGUUCGAGCGUCAUUUCAACCCUCAAGCCCAGCUUGGUGUUGGGAGCUGCAGUCCUGCUGCACUCCCCAAAUACAUUGGCGGUCACGUCGAGCUUCCAUAGCGUAGUAAUUUACACAUCGUUACUGGUAAUCGUCGCGGCCACGCCGUUAAACCCCAACUUCUGAAUGUUGACCUCGGAUCAGGUAGGAAUACCCGCUGAACUUAAGCAUAUCAA
rnacentral:rRNA from 1 species